rnacentral:rRNA from 1 species
GACGAACGCUGGCGGCGUGCUUAACACAUGCAAGUCGAACGGAAAGGCCCUGCUUUUGUGGGGUGCUCGAGUGGCGAACGGGUGAGUAACACGUGAGUAACCUGCCCUUGACUUUGGGAUAACUUCAGGAAACUGGGGCUAAUACCGGAUAGGAGCUCCUGCUGCAUGGUGGGGGUUGGAAAGUUUCGGCGGUUGGGGAUGGACUCGCGGCUCAUCAGCUUGUUGGUGGGGUAGUGGCUUACCAAGGCUUUGACGGGUAGCCGGCCUGAGAGGGUGACCGGCCACAUUGGGACUGAGAUACGGCCCAGACUCCUACGGGCGGCAGCAGUGGGGAGUAUUGCACAAUGGGCGGAAGCCUGAUGCAGCAACGCCGCGUGCGGGAUGACGGCCUUCGGGUUGUAAACCGCUUUCGCCUGUGACGAAGCGUGAGUGACGGUAAUGUGUAAAGAAGCACCGGCUAACUACGUG